AGAGGCCGGAAUAGCUCAGUUGGUAGAGCAGAGGACUGAAAAUCCUCGUGUCACCAGUUCA
rnacentral:tRNA from 1 species